rnacentral:rRNA from 1 species
AUCGAACGCUAGCGGGAUGCCUUACACAUGCAAGUCGAACGGAGUGGCGAACGGGUGAGUAAUGUAUCGGAACGUGCCCAGUAGCGGGGGAUAACUACGCGAAAGCGUAGCUAAUACCGCAUACUAUUGGAGCGGCCGAUAGCGGAGUAGCCAGGUGGUGGGGUAACGGCUCACCAGGGCGACGAUCCGUAGCUGGUUUGAGAGGACGACCAGCCACACUGGGACUGAGGCACGGCCCAGACGCCUACGGGAGGCAGCAGUGGGGAAUUUGGGGGAAUGUGGGAAACCCUGAUCCAGCCGUCCCGCGUGUGCGAUGAGGGCCUUCGGGUUGUAAGGCACUUUUGGCAGGAAAGCGGUACCUGCAGAAUAAGCACCGGCUAACUACGUGCCAGCAGCCGCGGUAAUAC